UACGGGGGGAGCAAGCGUUGUUCGGAUUUACUGGGCGUAAAGGGCGCGUAGGCGGUCAGCACAAGUCAGUUGUGAAAUCUCCGGGCUUAACUCGGAAAGGUCAACUGAUACUGUGCGACUAGAGUGCGGAAGGGGCAACUGGAAUUCUCGGUGUAGCGGUGAAAUGCGUAGAUAUCGUGAGGAAGACCAGUGGCGAAGGCGGGUCUCUGGACAGUUCCUGACGCUGAGGCGCGAAGGCCAGGGGAGCAAACGGG
rnacentral:rRNA from 1 species